UACGUAGGGUGCAAGCGUUAAUCGGAAUUACUGGGCGUAAAGCGUGCGCAGGCGGUUCUGUAAGUCUGUCGUGAAAUCCCCGGGCUUAACCUGGGAAUUGCGAUGGAGACUGCAAGGCUAGAAUCUGGCAGAGGGGGGGUAGAAUUCCACGUGUAGCAGUGAAAUGCGUAGAGAUGUGGGAGAACACGAUGCGAAGGCAGCCCCCUGAGUCAAGAUUGACGCUCAUGCACGAAAGCGUGGGGAGCAAACAGG
rnacentral:rRNA from 1 species